UACGAAGGGGGCUAGCGUUGCUCGGAAUGACUGGGCGUAAAGCGCACGUAGGCGGCUUUGUAAGUUAGAGGUGAAAGCCCGGGGCUCAACCCCGGAAUUGCCUUUAAGACUGCAUCGCUUGAAUCCGGGAGAGGUGAGUGGAAUUCCGAGUGUAGAGGUGAAAUUCGUAGAUAUUCGGAAGAACACCAGUGGCGAAGGCGGCUCACUGGACCGGUAUUGACGCUGAGGUGCGAAAGCGUGGGGAGCAAACAGG
rnacentral:rRNA from 1 species